GACGAACGCUGGCGGCGUGCCUAACACAUGCAAGUAGGACGCAGUUGGGAACGGGAGGGUAACGCGUAGGUAACUACCUAUUAGAGGGGGAUAACUAUUGGAAACGAUAGCUACUACCGCAUACUAGUAGAUGGACCUGCGUUGUAUUAGCUAGUAGGUGGGGUAAUGGCCUACCUCGGCAACGAUACAUAGCCGACCUGAGAGGGUGAUCGGCCACACUGGGACUGAGACACGGCCCAGACUCCUACGGGAGGCAGCAGUAGGGAAUCUUCGGCAAUGGAGGGAAGCCUGACCGAGCAACGCCGCGUGAGUGAAGAAGGUUUUCGGAUCGUAAAGCUCUGUUGUUAAGGAAGCGGUACUUAACCAGAAAGCGACGGCUAACUACGUGCCAGCAGCCGCGGUAAUUC
rnacentral:rRNA from 1 species